GGUUUAGAUUUUUCCAAGUUUGCUCAGGUAUUCUGUCUUGAAUUAUUACCAUCAUCAACACAGCAGCUUUUAUUGAGUGUUUACUGCAUACCAGGCAUCAGGCAACAUACUUGAACCCAAAACUGCGUGAAGGUCUGUGUUCUUAGCCACCCCUCCCCACUGCCUUUCAACAUGGCUAAUUCCAUCCUUUAUAGGAUGGAAUUUAGGAGUUUUCCUAGGUUAGAUUUUCCAAGUUUUGCUUUUGGAGAGCGUAUCAAACUCUAGGCUCCUGGUCGCUGGUUACAACUGGUUUUUGGAUUUCUGAUGACACUGGCAGUGAUAAGACAAGUAAUGGUUUAGCCACGUGAGGUCUACCAAGUCAAGUGGCAUAAAGAGAAACAUGAAAAAGUACCACGCGGUGGGGAUGUCCAACUCUUGGCAGAGUUCAGUCCAACUGGACUGGGAGGGGUUUUUGACUAUCCUGAGGAUCUGUUUCGAGGAACAAUUCUUGUCCUGAUGCUGAGACAGCUGGAUCUUAGGUACUUAAGAGAAUGUUAAUCAGCAUCUGAUGAAGAACUGACCAGAAGUGAAUUCCACUUCAUAGCUACCAUAAGCACUCCAAAAGGUUUCAACAUGCUUAUAUAUAUAUAAAGUGUUUAUUGUCUGAAAA